UACGUAGGGUGCGAGCGUUAAUCGGAAUUACUGGGCGUAAAGCGUGCGCAGGCGGUUUUGUAAGCCAGAUGUGAAAUCCCCGGACUUAACCUGGGAAUGGCAUUUGGGACUGCAAGGCUCGAGUGCGGCAGAGGAGACUGGAAUUCCUGGUGUAGCAGUGAAAUGCGUAGAUAUCAGGAGGAACACCGAUGGCGAAGGCAGGUCUCUGGGCUGACACUGACGCUCAUGCACGAAAGCGUGGGGAGCAAACAGG
rnacentral:rRNA from 1 species